rnacentral:tRNA from 1 species
UGGGGGAUCGUCUAACGGCAGGACAGCAGAUUCUGGCUCUGCUUAUCAAGGUUCGAAUCCUUGUCCCCCAG